rnacentral:rRNA from 1 species
UACGUAGGGUGCAAGCGUUAUCCGGAAUUAUUGGGCGUAAAGAGCUCGUAGGCGGUUUGUCGCGUCUGCUGUGAAAACUGGAGGCUCAACCUCCAGCCUGCAGUGGGUACGGGCAGACUAGAGUGCGGUAGGGGAGACUGGAAUUCCUGGUGUAGCGGUGAAAUGCGCAGAUAUCAGGAGGAACACCGAUGGCGAAGGCAGGUCUCUGGGCUGUAACUGACGCUGAGGAGCGAAAGCAUGGGGAGCGAACAGG